rnacentral:siRNA from 1 species
AGUGUCUCAAAUUAUAAAGAUACC